rnacentral:lncRNA from 1 species
AUAAGCCCAGGCCUACUACAAGUCUCACAAAGACUCCAAGUGCUGUAAAGCAUGAAGUGUACUUUGAUGGAUUAGGACUGAACGAACAGGACUAUAAAAGCCUUCACUGGUUACCCAGCUCCAUUGAAGACAAACAAGAAGAUGCAAGGAAAACUGAUACCUGAAGGCUAGGGUUAGCCCAGUAAAUGGAUUUCCUGAGAGGAAAAUAUGCAAAAUAACAAAAUGACUGUCUUUCUAGAAGUAGCUUUUUAAAAAGCUAAAUUUGAAUUUGCUGAGAUGAUUUAAUAAAAUGCAGCUGGCCAGCAA